UACAGAGGGGGCAAGCGUUGUUCGGAAUUACUGGGCGUAAAGGGCGCGUAGGCGGCCCGCUAAGUCGAACGUGAAAUCCCCGAGCUCAACUCGGGAACUGCGUCCGAUACUGGCGGGCUUGAAUCCGGGAGAGGGAUGCGGAAUUCCAGGUGUAGCGGUGAAAUGCGCAGAUAUCGGGAGGAACACCAAUGGCGAAGGCAGCUCGCUGGGACGGUACUGACGCUGAGACGCGAAAGCUAGGGGAGCAAACGGG
rnacentral:rRNA from 1 species